UACGUAGGUCCCGAGCGUUGUCCGGAUUUAUUGGGCGUAAAGCGAGCGCAGGCGGUUUAAUAAGUCUGAAGUUAAAGGCAGUGGCUUAACCAUUGUUCGCUUUGGAAACUGUUAGACUUGAGUGCAGAAGGGGAGAGUGGAAUUCCUUGUGUAGCGGUGAAAUGCGUAGAUAUAUGGAGGAACACCGGUGGCGAAAGCGGCUCUCUGGUCUGUAACUGACGCUGAGGUUCGAAAGCGUGGGGAGCAAACAGG
rnacentral:rRNA from 1 species